UCGGGAAUUUUGGGCAAUGGGCGAAAGCCUGACCCAGCAACGUCGCGUGAGGGAUGAAGUAUUUCGGUAUGUAAACCUCGAAAGAAUGGGAAGAAUAAAUGACGGUACCAUUUAUAAGCUCCGGCUAACUACGUGCCAGCAGCCGCGGUAAUACGUAGGGAGCAAGCGUUGUUCGGAUUUACUGGGCGUAAAGGGCGCGUAGGCGGCGCGGUAAGUCACUUGUGAAAUCUCUGAGCUUAACUCAGAACGGCCAAGUGAUACUGCUGUGCUAGAGUGCGGAAGAGGCAACCGGAAUUCUUGGUGUAGCGGUGAAAUGCGUAGAUAUCAAGAGGAACACCUGAGGCGAAGGCGGGUUGCUGGGCCGACACUGACGCUGAUGCGCGAAAGCCAGGGGAGCAAACG
rnacentral:rRNA from 1 species